GACAGCAGUCGCCGCGUGAAUACAGAGGUCUCAAGCGUUGUUCGGAUUCAUUGGGCGUAAAGGGUGCGUAGGUGGCGUCGUAAGUCAGGUGUGAAAUCUCGGGGCUCAACCUCGAAACUGCACUUGAUACUGCGAUGCUUGAGUACUGGAGAGGAGAUUGGAAUUUACGGUGUAGCAGUGAAAUGCGUAGAUAUCGUAAGGAAGACCAGUGGCGAAGGCGAAUCUCUGGACAGUUACUGACACUGAGGCACGAAGGCCAGGGGAGCAAACGGGAUUAGAUACCCCGGUAGUCCCUGUCUCUUAUAC
rnacentral:rRNA from 1 species